UGCACCAGGCGCGAAACCUCCGCAAUGCGGGAAACCGUGACGGGGUCACCCCGAGUGCCCCGAAGAGGGGCUUUUCCCCGCUGUAAAAAGGCGGGGGAAUAAGCGGGGGGCAAGUCUGGUGUCAGCCGCCGCGGUAAUACCAGCCCCGCGAGUGGUCGGGACGAUUAUUGGGCCUAAAGCGCCCGUAGCCGGCCCGGUAAGUCCCCCCUUAAAGCCCCGGGCCCAACCCGGGGACGGGGGGGAUACUGCCGGGCUAGGGGGCGGGAGAGGCCGGCGGUACUCCCGGGGUAGGGGCGAAAUCCGUUAAUCCCGGGAGGACCACCAGUGGCGAAGGCGGCCGGCUGGAACGCGCCCGACGGUGAGGGGCGAAAGCCGGGGGAGCGAACCGGAUUAGAUACCCGG
rnacentral:rRNA from 1 species